AAGUCGUAACAAGGUUUCCGUAGGUGAACCUGCGGAAGGAUCAUUACCAAUUUUAGCGAACCUAAACCUUUGUGUUAUGGUCUCGCGAAAAAAACUGUAUUUAAAACCCCACUCUUUAUAAUAAUAAAUGAAUCUAUUUAUAUAAUCAUAAAUAAAGAUCACUUUUAACAACGGAUCUCUUGGCUCUC
rnacentral:misc_RNA from 1 species